rnacentral:misc_RNA from 1 species
CCAUGUCGGACUGGCAGCGAGGGUCCAAGAUGGCGGUGGAGUGAGAGUGUGUCUAGUAAGCCUCCGUGAAACACGAGCGAUUUGUCUUGGAUAAUCAAGUCGUGUCGUGCCAAAAUUUGUUCUAUGCAGUCCUAAGGUGUCACGAGACCCAUUGGUGAGAGAACCCGGUGGAUUUACUAGUCAUGGAUUCCCCAGCAGCUGCGAUAUUCCUUCUGGCUGUCCUCGCCGCCAUUGCCAAUGCUCAAUUAAUACAACGACCGAACAAAGAAGUAUCGAUCAAGAGUGUCCGCAUCCUGUGUAACAGCAACGAUAUCGUCGUCUCCAUUGAAACCAACACGGCCUUCAAUGGCAUGAUCUACCCCAAGGGACUGUCCAAGAACUCCUCCUGCAUGGCGGAGUUCAGGGAGCAGAUCAGCCCCGUGUUGUACAAGUUGCCGCUCAAAUCAUGCAGCACCAUGAGCUCGGAAAUGGAUGACGGCAUCGAGUACUUCAACACGGUGGUGGUUCAGCCUCACAGGAAGCUCGUCACCAACCAAGGGCGAGGCUAUCACAUCCGUUGCAAGUACCAGACGCAGGAGAAGACCGUCACCAACGCCUUCAACGUCAGCGGAGACUUCGUUACGGACGCUGAAUGGAAGGCACCAAACGGGUCCAGCUUCGUUGGCACCACUCCGCUGACCGCCACGGCGCCCAUGCCCGGCUGCUACAUGAGGAUCUUCGCCGGCACGCCUGACGAGAAGCUGGUGGCGGAGAACGUGCGCAUCGGCGACCCGCUCACCAUGUCCAUCUCGCUGGACGACCAGGAGAUCUACGGCAUGAAGGUGACGGACUGCCUGGUGCGGGACGGCUUGGGCUGGGGAGAGCAGAUGCUGAUCAACAGUGACGGAUGCCCUGUCGACUACGAAAUCUUUGGUGCCCUGGAGUACUCGCCGUCCAAGACCUCGGCGACUGUCCGCUUUCAGGCUCACAAGUUCCCUUACAUCUCGUCUGUCUACUACCAGUGCAACGUGAAGCUUUGCAUCAAGAACGCCGGGGGCUGUGAUGACGUGCCGCCCCUGUGCGUGGAUGGCGAGAACGUCCUGCGCCGUCGUCGUCGUAGGGACGUGGAAGUGGAUGGGAACGGUGACCUGCGUGAAGUGGAGGCUGAGGUGGACGAGAACCUGACCAUUGAGGUGUUCACUGGUCUCUAUGUCAACGAGGACGAGGAGCUGCCGGAGCCUGAGGGAGCGUCGGACACACUGUCGCCGGUGAAGGAGGAAGUGGAGGAUGACCCAAACACCUUCUGCCUUUCCCCCAAGACCUUCGCCAUCGGCAUCGCCAUCGCCGGUCUCAUCCUCAUGGUGGCCGUCAUCGCAUCCAUCCUCAUCCUCAUCUCCCGGCGGCGCAGAAGAAAGGAGGACUCCACCACGGGCUCCUCUAUUUAUUCCAGUCCGUACACUAACACUGCCUACAGCCACUCCUCCUAGACGGCGGUCAUGCCUGUAGCAAGUUGUGUAGCUUUAUUCCUUUACUCGUAAUUUGUUUGUAAAAUGCGUGAGACUCAAUCCCAAACACGAACGAAUCGAACUUUGUGAGACUCCUGGGAUACAGACUCCAAACUGAAGCGCUUCACGGCACGGUACAUGAAGCAGAUUAGACGUGUUCGAAACCCUGAAUGAACGCCUUCCCCGCCCCGCCCCGCCCCGCCCCCCGGCCUCAGUGCAUGGCGUUGUCAGCAGGUGGGCGGACGCGGCUGCUUGGCGAGGGACGGUGGCACCACUUGACCUGAACCAAGGACAGGCUGAGGGUAAAUGGAGUGUAUCAGAUUCAACAAGAUGGUACAGAAAAGUGUGGAUGGGUGUCACUGCGCAACAAGACUGUGUUCUGGAGGGAAAGGAAUUAGAGGAAAUGGAAGGAAGGGAUGAAAGAAUGGGGACAGACGGCACAGAUAAACACCUUCCUUCAUUGUCUGUCACCCAAAGAAGACAAAAUGGAGACCUGGCCAGCCAAGUGAUGUAACUAUUGGGUGAGC